AGGAUUGCAACGAAUACCUUUUAGGCUACCCGUCUGAUCUCUGAUGGUUGCUAUGGUGCCGAAAGCUUGCUUACGGUUAUCAGAGUUUGAUUGUCAAAAGGUUAGAACGGGUUAAAUUCGUUAAGGAUGUUGACGUAAUGGCUUUAAACGA
rnacentral:rRNA from 1 species